rnacentral:rRNA from 1 species
GGAAUAUUGGACAAUGGGGGCAACCCUGAUCCAGCAAUGCCGCGUGUGUGAAGAAGGCCUGCGGGUUGUAAAGCACUUUCAGUGGGGAGGAAGGCUUUAGUGCUAAUAACACUAAGGAUUGACGUUACCCAAAGAAGAAGCACCGGCUAACUCUGUGCCAGCAGCCGCGGUAAUACAGAGGGUGCAAGCGUUAAUCGGAAUUACUGGGCGUAAAGGGUGCGUAGGUGGUUUUUUAAGUCAGAUGUGAAAUCCCCGGGCUUAACCUGGGAAUUGCAUAUGAUACUGGGAAACUAGAGUGCGGUAGAGGGAAGUGGAAUUUCCGGUGUAGCGGUGAAAUGCGUAGAUAUCGGAAGGAACACCAGUGGCGAAGGCGACUUCCUGGACCGUUACUGACACUGAGGCACGAAAGCGUGGGGAGCGAA